UACGUAGGUCCCGAGCGUUGUCCGGAUUUAUUGGGCGUAAAGCGAGCGCAGGCGGUUCUUUAAGUCUGAAGUUAAAGGCAGUGGCUUAACCAUUGUACGCUUUGGAAACUGGAGGACUUGAGUGCAGAAGGGGAGAGUGGAAUUCCAUGUGUAGCGGUGAAAUGCGUAGAUAUAUGGAGGGACACCGGUGGCGAAAGCGGCUCUCUGGUCUGUAACUGACGCUGAGGCUCGAAAGCGUGGGGAGCAAACAGG
rnacentral:rRNA from 1 species